rnacentral:rRNA from 1 species
CCCGGUGAUCUAGCCAUGGGCAGGUUGAAGGUUGGGUAACACUAACUGGAGGACCGAACCGACUAAUGUUGAAAAAUUAGCGGAUGACUUGUGGCUGGGGGUGAAAGGCCAAUCAAACCGGGAGAUAGCUGGUUCUCCCCGAAAGCUAUUUAGGUAGCGCCUCGUGAAUUCAUCUCCGGGGGUAGAGCACUGUUUCGGCAAGGGGGUCAUCCCGACUUACCAACCCGAUGCAAACUGCGAAUACCGGAGAAUGUUAUCACGGGAGACACACGGCGGGUGCUAACGUCCGUCGUGAAGAGGGAAACAACCCAGACCGCCAGCUAAGGUCCCAAAGUCAUGGUUAAGUGGGAAACGAUGUGGGAAGGCCCAGACAGCCAGGAUGUUGGCUUAGAAGCAGCCAUCAUUUAAAGAAAGCGUAAUAGCUCACUGGUCGAGUCGGCCUGCGCGGAAGAUGUAACGGGGCUAAACCAUGCACCGAAGCUGCGGCAGCGACGCUUAUGCGUUGUUGGGUAGGGGAGCGUUCUGUAAGCCUGCGAAGGUGUGCUGUGAGGCAUGCUGGAGGUAUCAGAAGUGCGAAUGCUGACAUAAGUAACGAUAAAGCGGGUGAAAAGCCCGCUCGCCGGAAGACCAAGGGUUCCUGUCCAACGUUAAUCGGGGCAGGGUGAGUCGACCCCUAAGGCGAGGCCGAAAGGCGUAGUCGAUGGGAAACAGGUUAAUAUUCCUGUACUUGGUGUUACUGCGAAGGGGGGACGGAGAAGGCUAUGUUGGCCGGGCGACGGUUGUCCCGGUUUAAGCGUGUAGGCUGGUUUUCCAGGCAAAUCCGGAAAAUCAAGGCUGAGGCGUGAUGACGAGGCACUACGGUGCUGAAGCAACAAAUGCCCUGCUUCCAGGAAAAGCCUCUAAGCAUCAGGUAACAUCAAAUCGUACCCCAAACCGACACAGGUGGUCAGGUAGAGAAUACCAAGGCGCUUGAGAGAACUCGGGUGAAGGAACUAGGCAAAAUGGUGCCGUAACUUCGGGAGAAGGCACGCUGAUAUGUAGGUGAAGUCCCUCGCGGAUGGAGCUGAAAUCAGUCGAAGAUACCAGCUGGCUGCAACUGUUUAUUAAAAACACAGCACUGUGCAAACACGAAAGUGGACGUAUACGGUGUGACGCCUGCCCGGUGCCGGAAGGUUAAUUGAUGGGGUUAGCGCAAGCGAAGCUCUUGAUCGAAGCCCCGGUAAACGGCGGCCGUAACUAUAACGGUCCUAAGGUAGCGAAAUUCCUUGUCGGGUAAGUUCCGACCUGCACGAAUGGCGUAAUGAUGGCCAGGCUGUCUCCACCCGAGACUCAGUGAAAUUGAACUCGCUGUGAAGAUGCAGUGUACCCGCGGCAAGACGGAAAGACCCCGUGAACCUUUACUAUAGCUUGACACUGAACAUUGAGCCUUGAUGUGUAGGAUAGGUGGGAGGCUUUGAAGUGUGGACGCCAGUCUGCAUGGAGCCGACCUUGAAAUACCACCCUUUAAUGUUUGAUGUUCUAACGUUGACCCGUAAUCCGGGUUGCGGACAGUGUCUGGUGGGUAGUUUGACUGGGGCGGUCUCCUCCUAAAGAGUAACGGAGGAGCACGAAGGUUGGCUAAUCCUGGUCGGACAUCAGGAGGUUAGUGCAAUGGCAUAAGCCAGCUUGACUGCGAGCGUGACGGCGCGAGCAGGUGCGAAAGCAGGUCAUAGUGAUCCGGUGGUUCUGAAUGGAAGGGCCAUCGCUCAACGGAUAAAAGGUACUCCGGGGAUAACAGGCUGAUACCGCCCAAGAGUUCAUAUCGACGGCGGUGUUUGGCACCUCGAUGUCGGCUCAUCACAUCCUGGGGCUGAAGUAGGUCCCAAGGGUAUGGCUGUUCGCCAUUUAAAGUGGUACGCGAGCUGGGUUUAGAACGUCGUGAGACAGUUCGGUCCCUAUCUGCCGUGGGCGCUGGAGAACUGAGGGGGGCUGCUCCUAGUACGAGAGGACCGGAGUGGACGCAUCACUGGUGUUCGGGUUGUCAUGCCAAUGGCACUGCCCGGUAGCUAAAUGCGGAAGAGAUAAGUGCUGAAAGCAUCUAAGCACGAAACUUGCCCCGAGAUGAGUUCUCCCUGACUCCUUGAGAGUCCUGAAGGAACGUUGAAGACGACGACGUUGAUAGGCCGGGUGUGUAAGCGCAGCGAUGCGUUGAGCUAACCGGUACUAAUGAACCGUGAGGCUUAACCU